rnacentral:lncRNA from 1 species
UUAUCAAGAUUGAUAUUAAAUCCUUAAACAUGUCUAAAAAAAAGAUAUUAAAUCCUGAAACAGCUUGGAAACAUAAGAGUACAGCCCUCAAAUUCAUACCAUUUGCUCAACCGGUUGGCAAAAAAUCAUGAUAUCAUCCCCAAUAAAAAAAAAAGAUGAGACACUUCCGCUUAUUGAUUGUUUUUGCCCACCCACAUGCCUCUAAAAGUUCACACUCCUUAGCCUUCUCUAACAUCCUGUUUAUGGCUUUCAUAAUGGUGAUAAAGAGAAGAGGUGAAAAGUUGUCACCUUGCCUUAAGCUGCGGGACACGUUGAAGAAUGAAGAAGGACAACCAUUAAUCAUAACAACAAAGAAUGUACUAGUAAUACACUCCUUGAUCCACCGUCUCCACUUCGCACCAAAACUCAUCUUUCGAAGCAUGUAGUCAAUAAAAUCUCAACUAACAUGGUCAUAGACCUUCUAAAU